rnacentral:rRNA from 1 species
GACGUAGGGUGCAAGCGUUGUCCGGAUUUACUGGGCGUAAAGCGCGUGUAGGCGGGUCGGAAAGUCAGGUGUGAAAUCCCCGGGCUCAACUCGGGAACUGCACUUGAAACUUCCGAUCUCGAGUACCGGAGAGGGUAGUGGAAUUCCUGGUGUAGAGGUGAAAUUCGUAGAUAUCAGGAGGAACACCGGUGGCGAAGGCGGGCUACCCUGGACGGU